UUUCCGUAGGUGAACCUGCGGAAGGAUCAUUAAAGAGAAUAUGCCCUUCGGGGUAGAUCUCCCACCCUUUGUUUAAAUUACCUUUGUUGCUUUGGCAGGCCCGUCUUCGGACCACCGGCUUCGGCUGGUCAGUGCUUGCCAGAGGACCCAAAACUCUUUUUAUUAAUGUCGUCUGAGUACUAUAUAAUAGUUAAAACUUUCAACAACGGAUCUCUUGGUUCUG
rnacentral:misc_RNA from 1 species